rnacentral:rRNA from 1 species
AGAGUUUGAUCAUGGCUCAGGAUGAACGCUAGCGAUAGGCCUAACACAUGCAAGUCGAGGGGCAUCACAUGAAGUAGCAAUACGGAUGGUGGCGACCGGCGCACGGGUGAGUAACGCGUAUGCAAUCUACCUACAACAAGGGGAUAACCCGUUGAAAGACGGACUAAUACCCUAUAAAACAGGGGUUCCGCAUGGGACUAUUUGUUAAAGAUUCAUCGGUUGUAGAUGAGCAUGCGUUCCAUUAGCUUGUUGGUGAGGUAACGGCCCACCAAGGCAACGAUGGAUAGGGGAACUGAGAGGUUUAUCCCCCACACUGGUACUGAGACACGGACCAGACUCCUACGGGAGGCAGCAGUGAGGAAUAUUGGUCAAUGGACGCAAGUCUGAACCAGCCACGUCGCGUGAAGGAAGACGGCCCUACGGGUUGUAAACUUUUUUUGUAAGGGAAUAAAGUGAGUCACGAGUGACUUUUUGCAUGUACCUUACGAAUAAGGAUCGGCUAACUCCGUGCCAGCAGCCGCGGUAAUACGGAGGAUCCGAGCGUUAUCCGGAUUUAUUGGGUUUAAAGGGUGCGCAGGCGGGAGAUUAAGUCGGCGGUGAAAUUUUGCAGCUCAACUGUAAAAGUGCCAUCGAUACUGGUUUUUCUUGAGUGUAGAUGAAGUAGGCGGAAUUUGCGGUGUACCGGUGAACUUGUAUAGAUAUCACGAGUAACUUCCUAUUGCGCCGGUCGUUUACU